rnacentral:rRNA from 1 species
GACGAACGCUGGCGGCGUGCUUAACACAUGCAAGUCGAGCGCCGUAGCAAUACGGAGCGGCAGACGGGUGAGUAACACGUGGGAACGUACCUCUUGGUUCGGAGCAACACAGGGAAACUUGUGCUAAUACCGGAUAAGCCCUUACGGGGAAAGAUUUAUCGCCGAGAGAUCGGCCCGCGUCUGAUUAGCUAGUUGGUGAGGUAACGGCUCACCAAGGCGACGAUCAGUAGCUGGUCUGAGAGGAUGAUCAGCCACACUGGGACUGAGACACGGCCCAGACUCCUACGGGAGGCAGCGGUGGGGAAUAUUGGACAAUGGGCGCAAGCCUGAUCCAGCCAUGCCGCGUGAGUGAUGAAGGCCCUAGGGUUGUAAAGCUCUUUUGUGCGGGAAGAUAAUGACUGUACCGCAAGAAUAAGCCCCGGCUAACUUCGUGCCAGCCGCCGCUGUAAGAC